rnacentral:rRNA from 1 species
UACGUAGGGUGCGAGCGUUGUCCGGAAUUAUUGGGCGUAAAGAGCUUGUAGGCGGUUUGUCGCGUCUGCUGUGAAAAUCCGGGGCUCAACCCCGGACUUGCAGUGGGUACGGGCAGGCUAGAGUGUGGUAGGGGAGACUGGAAUUCCCGGUGUAGCGGUGAAAUGCGCAGAUAUCAGGAGGAACACCGGUGGCGAAGGCGGGUCUCUGGGCCGUAACUGACGCUGAGGAGCGAAAGCGUGGGGAGCAAACAGG